GAAUAUUGGACAAUGGGGGGAACCCUGAUCCAGCCAUGCCGCGUGUGUGAAGAAGGCCUUUUGGGUGUAAAGAACUUUAAGUGAGGAGGAGUCUACUCUGGUUAAUACCUGAAGAUAGUGGACGUUCCUCCGAACAUACGCACCGGCCAACUAUGUGCCCGCAGCCGCGGUAAUACAGAGGGUGCAAGCGUUAAUCGGAUUUACUGGGCGUAAAGCGCGCGUAGGUGGCCAAUUAAGUCAAAUGUGAAAUCCCCGAGCUUAACUUGGGAAUUGCAUUCGAUACUGGUUGGCUAGAGUAUGGGAGAGGAUGGUAGAAUUCCAGGUGUAGCGGUGAAAUGCGUAGAGAUCUGGAGGAAUACCGAUGGCGAAGGCAGCCAUCUGGCCUAAUACUGACACUGAGGUGCGAAAGCAUGGGGAGCAAAC
rnacentral:rRNA from 1 species